CGGCCGCGGGAAUUCGAUUCGUAUUACCGCGGCUGCUGGCACAGAGUUAGCCGGUGCUUAUUCUGUCGGUAACGUCAAAACACUAACGUAUUAGGUUAAUGCCCCUCCUCCCAACUUAAAGUGCUUUACAAUCCGAAGACCUUCUUCACACACGCGGCAUGGCUGGAUCAGGCUUUCGCCCAUUGUCCAAUAUUCCCCACUGCUGCCUCCCGUAGGAGUCUGGACCGUGUCUCAGUUCCAGUGUGACUGAUCAUCCUCUCAGACCAGUUACGGAUCGUCGCCUUGGUGAGCCAUUACCCCACCAACUAGCUAAUCUGCCAUCGGCCGCCCCUUGAGCGGGAGGUCCGAAGAUCCCCCCCUUUCCUCCAUAGAGCGUAUGCGGUAUUAAUCCGGCUUUCGCCGGGCUAUCCCCCACUCCAGGACACGUUCCGAUGUAUUACUCACCCGUUCGCCACUCGCCACCAGGGUUGCCCCCGUGCUGCCGUUCGACUUGCAUGUGUAAGGCAUGCCGCCAGCGUUCAAUCUGAGCCAUGAUCAAACUCUAAUCACUAGUGAAUUCGCGGCCGCCUGCAGGUCGACCAUAUGGG
rnacentral:rRNA from 1 species